rnacentral:rRNA from 1 species
AUUAGCUAGUUGGUGAGGUAAUGGCUCACCAAGGCGACGAUCUCUAGCUGGUCUGAGAGGAUGAUCAGCCACACUGGGACUGAGACACGGCCCAGACUCCUACGGGAGGCAGCAGUGGGGAAUAUUGGACAAUGGGGGCAACCCUGAUCCAGCCAUGCCGCGUGUGUGAAGAAGGCCUUCGGGUUGUAAAGCACUUUCAUUGGUGAGGAAGGAGGUAAAGCUAAUAUCUUUAUCUAUUGACGUUAACCAAAGAAGAAGCACCGGCUAACUCCGUGCCAGCAGCCGCGGUAAUACGGAGGGUGCGAGCGUUAAUCGGAAUUACUGGGCGUAAAGGGCAUGCAGGCGGUUACAUAAGUCAGGUGUGAAAUCCCCGCGCUUAACGUGGGCAUUGCAUUUGAAACUAUGUAGCUAGAGUUCUGUAGAGGGGGGUAGAAUUCCAGGUGUAGCGGUGAAAUGCGUAGAGAUCUGGAGGAAUACCGAUUGCGAAGGCAGCCCCCUGGACAGUGACUGACGCUCAUAUGCGAAAGCGUGGGGAUCAAACAGGAUUAGAUACCCUGGUAGUCCACGCUGUCAACGAUGUCGAUUUGGAGGUUGUGGCUUUAAGCCGUGGCUUCCGAAGCUAACGCGUUAAAUCGACCGCCUGGGGAGUACGGCCGCAAGGUUAAAACUCAAAUGAAUUGACGGGGGCCCGCACAAGCGGUGGAGCAUGUGGUUUAAUUCGAUGCAACGCGAAGAACCUUACCUACUCUUGACAUCCAGAGAAUCCUGUAGAGAUACGGGAGUGCCUUCGGGAACUCUGAGACAGGUGCUGCAUGGCUGUCGUCAGCUCGUGUUGUGAAAUGUUGGGUUAAGUCCCGCAACGAGCGCAACCCUUAUCCUUUGUUGCUAGCGGUUCGGCCGAGAACUCAAAGGAGACUGCCAGUGAUAAACUGGAGGAAGGUGGGGAUGAUGUCAAGUCAUCAUGGCCCUUACGAGUAGGGCUACACACGUGCUACAAUGGGGUAUACAAAGAGAGGCAAGCUCGCGAGAGUAAGCGGAACUCAUAAAGUACCU